AUUGAACGCUGGCGGCAUGCCUUACACAUGCAAGUCGAACGGUAACGCGGGGCAACCUGGCGACGAGUGGCGAACGGGUGAGUAAUGCAUCGGAACGUGCCCAGUAGUGGGGGAUAGCUCGGCGAAAGCCGGAUUAAUACCGCAUACGACCUACGGGUGAAAGCGGGGGACCGCAAGGCCUCGCGCUAUUGGAGCGACCGAUGUCAGAUUAGGUUGUUGGUGAGGUAAAGGCUCACCAAGCCGACGAUCUGUAGCGGGUCUGAGAGGACGACCAGCCACACUGGGACUGAGACACGGCCCAGACUCCUACGGGAGGCAGCAGUGGGGAAUUUUGGACAAUGGGCGCAAGCCUGAUCCAGCAAUGCCGCGUGCAGGAAGAAGGCCUUCGGGUUGUAAACUGCUUUUGUCAGGGAAGAAAUCUUCUGGGUUAAUACCUCGGGAGGAUGACGGUACCUGAAGAAUAAGCACCGGCUAACUACGUGCCAGCCGCCGCAGUAACAC
rnacentral:rRNA from 1 species